ACGCUGGCGGCGUGCUUAACACAUGCAAGUCGAACGGAGAUUAUUAAUGAAGCUUGCGAUUUAAUAAUCUUAGUGGCGGACGGGUGAGUAACGCGUGGGCAACCUACCCAUAAGCGGGGGAUAACAGUUGGAAACGACUGCUAAUACCGCAUAAGCUAUUGAGGUCGCAUGACCUAAAUAGUAAAGGUGGCGAAAGCUAUCACUUAUGGAUGGGCCCGCGUCUGAUUAGCUAGUUGGUGGGAUAGCAGCCUACCAAGGCAACGAUCAGUAGCCGGCCUGAGAGGGUGGACGGCCACACUGGGACUGAGACACGGCCCAGACUCCUACGGGAGGCAGCAGUGGGGAAUAUUGCGCAAUGGGGGAAACCCUGACGCAGCGACGCCGCGUGAGCGAAGAAGGCCUUAGGGUCGUAAAGCUCUGUUGUAAGGGACGAAUGUUUAUCUGGCGAACAGUCAGAUAAAGUGACGGUACCUUACCAGCAAGCCCCGGCUAACUACGUG
rnacentral:rRNA from 1 species